UGGAGCAUGUGUUAAUUCGAAGCAACGCGAAGAACCUUACCAGGUCUUGACAUCCCGAUGCUAUUUCUAGAGAUAGAAAGUUACUUCGGUACAUCGGUGACAGGUGGUGCAUGGUUGUCGUCAGCUCGUGUCGUGAGAUGUUGGGUUAAGUCCCGCAACGAGCGCAACCCCUAUUGUUAGUUGCCAUCAUUCAGUUGGGCACUCUAGCGAGACUGCCGGUAAUAAACCGGAGGAAGGUGGGGAUGACGUCAAAUCAUCAUGCCCCUUAUGACCUGGGCUACACACGUGCUACAAUGGUUGGUACAACGAGUUGCGAGUCGGUGACGGCGAGCUAAUCUCUUAAAGCCAAUCUCAGUUCGGAUUGUAGGCUGCAACUCGCCUACAUGAAGUCGGAAUCGCUAGUAAUCGCGGAUCAGCACGCCGCGGUCGAAUACGUUCCCGGGCCUU
rnacentral:rRNA from 1 species